UAAUAUAAUAUACAUUAGAACUUUCUGAAAACCAAGCCAGGGUUCAUACAAUAUUGCACAUCAUCCUUUACAACUAAAAAAACUUAAAUCGUUCUGAUAUUUUUAAUUAAAGAGUAAAUUUUUGUCAAUGUGUACUUUUUACUACACUUAUUUCUUACUUUAUUUUACUUUUUAUAUUUUUUUUUUUAGUUUAUUGAACUAUGCUUUUUAAAUUAUUUUGGCCGAUUUUAGUUCCUUUUUUGUUGAAGUAUUCUGUUUAGAUUCACGCUGUGUAGUCUUGUCACCCGGUCGUGGAGAGAGCAUGUCUUGUUAGGUAAGUAAGUGAAAAGAUAUUUAACGUUAAUAUUUUUUAAAUCGGACGGUUGAAGUAUUCCAAGUUUUUGUUGGUUUGCCUGUUUGACAUCUACCAUAAGCGAUGUGAAUUAUAAUACGAACAACAAAUCGCCAAUUUGAGCAUUGGUCGGCAAGAACGCGGCUAGUUAUGGAUUGGUUAUCGUCAUAGUGAAGGGGCCCAACUCACCCAUAUUGUGGUAUUUUAAUUUCUUCACUUGUUUUACAGCCAUCGAUUCCAAGAAGCUGUCAUGGACGCGGUCGCAAAUCGUCGUCGUGUGUAAUGUGUCUUGUCAAAACAAGGUUUGAUGAGCUGAGCGUGCGAUAGAAGCUCUGCGUUGUAUUAUAAUUUUUGCGAACAAAAAACGACUAGUAAUUAAAUAUGAUAAUUUUGACUUAAAAGUUGUUCUAUUUAUUUUUAGCUGUGCCACAGCGGCGUUUGGAGUCGUUUGCAGUUGGGUAUUUCGAGCGCAUUAUGGCGAAUGGGAAAAGACCCUGAGGUAGGAGUCCAAUUCGCUGGACAGACCAAAUGAGCUCCACGUUAAACAGCAGUCUGUGACACCAUCCACGCCGCCAAAAAUAGGACAAGAUGGCGAAAGAUAGUCCAGGAGAAACUGAUUCAUCGAGGUCUAGACCCUCAGCACUGAGAAUAGUAGACACAAGGAGGAUAUCUGUGCAGUAUUAACUGUUAGGUGCGUACCUAGUAUCUAUGUGUACCUCACUGUGAUGGUCAUACGUCGUUUCAACAGGCACAUAAGCUUUGUACCUUCGCCUCCAUUGACCUUCCUGGCCACAUCGACAUCACGUCUAUUGGUUAAAAUAAGGCAAUAAUUUUGAAAUGUAUAAUCUGCAUGCAAAUAUUUGAGGAAAACAGAAUAAUCUAGAAAUCUUUAUUUGGUUCACAUUAAUGAUCCCUAACUUUAGGAGGCUCCAGCUGUUGUAGACGUAGUUUGCUAUAACUUAUCACAUUUCCUAUGUACCUGUAGAUAUAUGGUAUGUAUGUAGGUAGGUUAUUAAUAAUGUAGAGGGGCCUACCUACUUAUUUAUCAGUUACAAAAGUCAGACCUACAGUGUCUUAUAUUUGUCAUAUAUUUUCUUUUUGUAAUAAACGUGAUUAUGUUAGCAUUUUGUUUUAUUUACCCAAGAGUAUGAAUGCUCUCAUUAUAUCAUCUACUAUCAGUUUCACACGGCUUAGCCCGCGUCCCGAGGAAACAACUACCCGUAAAGGCUACUACACACAGUGCCGGCGGCAGGGCCGCCGGGCAAUCCACCGCCCAAGCCGCCGUGCACCUGGUGGCAUACAAAGCCGCCGGCUUUGCCGCACAAAGAAGCCGCCGGCAUAGCCGCUCGGCAUGAAACCGGCGGCAUUGCCGCCGGCACGUGUUUAGUAGCCUUUACAGGAUAAAAUAGAAGAAGAGUGUAGCUUCCCAAAAGUGACAUAAUUUUUCAAAUCAAAUUCAACAAAAAAAAUCUCCUCUUCAGUACAUUACUGGAGCGGAAACCACGGACUAGUAAGCGCAGCGUAGGACGUCCACCAACGAGGUGGACAGACGACCUUAUAAAGGUCGCCGGAAGACGCUGGAUGCAGGUCGCUUCCAACAGGUAUCUGUGGAGAUCAAAGGGGGAGGCCUAUGUUCAGCAGUGGACGUCCUAUGCCUGAGAUGAUGAUGAUGAGUACAUUACUAUAAAUACAGGUCUUAACCUUAGUUUAUCCAGCGAUAUGCGGCUAAACUUAAUUUUAUUCUCUCAUCUUCGGUAAGAACUCAUUGUAGCCUUCAUCGUAGACUUGUGGCUAACGUCUUGUGUGUCCUAUUCACAUCGGCCCUAACCUAGCUCUAGCUAGGUUUUCGAUUCAGUAGAGCUGUUCUUUGGUUUGUUUUGAGAGUCAUCAUCAUCUGCCGAGCCUUUUUCCAACUAUCUUGGGAUCGGCUUGCAGUCUAACCGAAUACAACUGAGUAGCAGUGCUUUACAAGGAACGGCUGCCUAUCUAAUCUCCUCUAACCGGAUGCCUGGGUUAACCAAUACACUAUAAGACUGAGGUAACACUGGUUAUCUGACUUGCUGUACUCUGAAUAAUCGUAACGACUGCCAAAGAUGUUGAAAUGGCAGCCGGGACCAGCAGUUUAUCGUGCCUUCCGAAACAUGGAAGAACUUGUCAUGAAAAGGUGGACAUCCACUUACCGACCGCACCAGGGGUUGCUCGUCCUUGUAAUCGUUCGAUCCUCGCUGUUUUGACUUACUCACGAGCUGUUCCUUCGUUUCUCUCUUUCUUUCGUGAAUCUCGUUUCGUUUGUGAGUUUAAUUUUUUUGAGACUCUUCUUCUUCUUCCUAACCUGUUCUCAAUUUCAUUAUAGUUCGGCGCAAUAUGUCUUCCGCUUCCAUACUUCUCUGUCACUCGUCAUACUGACACUCACCCCCUUUCAUCUUUUCUGUGGUCUUCUUAUCCAUCCAACUACACUCUUACAUGUUAUUAUUAAUCUUGUCUUUGCCAACUGAUUCUCUCUGAUCUGAUAUUGAAUAUUAAAAGCCCCUUGUCCAUGUUGGCUCAUUAAAACUAUAUCCCCUGCACGUCCUGAAAUCAAUAAAUAGCGCAGGACGCGGUUGGGGAGAUGCGGGGUGCGGGGAAAGGGAACAUGUCGGGGUGAGAUGCAGCCUCAGUCGCGAGUCGCGCGUAUCGGAGAUGACAUGUACGCGUGCAUCUCUUAUGACGGGUUCAAUUGAGAUAAUUGUUACGCUUAAAUCUUGUUUUAAAGAGUCAUUCAGGAUAUGGUCUUGUGAUACUGUGAACUGUGAUUUGGUGAUAUGCCACUUCUUUGGGUUGGAACCAUUGACGCCAUACACCACCAUCAGAUGUUGCAGCUGGGUGUUUCAAAAGCACUGGGUGUUUCGAUAUCAGUAUCUAAGCAGCAUUUCGUAUUUACUGAAAACUAAUGGCCGGGAUGAUCAGAACCAAUUAUUGGGAUGAUGAAAAAUUUACACUGUAUAAUUAUAUUACGGAGGUACUCUUUUUGAUUUUGUAUCUAUCAGCAGAAAAAAAUCUGUAUAGGAGCACAAAUACACAAUAUCUACCAAAGAAGAUUAAGUAAGCUUCUCUCCAAAAGAAGAUUCCAGGCUAAGGAAUUAUACAACGUAUUUCUAUUUUCAGAAUUUAAGGACAUUUGAAUUAGGAACUCCAAAGUACCGGAUCACAGCGAGGCAUACCGUGGCCCUAAAACACACAUUAUGUCUAAUCAAAACUUCUCUGAAAAUGUCUUGCACAUGGGUUUUCGCACAUCGUUUAGAAGACAAUCCUGUCAAACAGAAAAACCAUCGAAAUAUCUGAAUACCUUCAACUGGCCGACUGAUUUCCUUGGAAAAUCACCCCUGGUCUCCAUUGCUUACAGACCCACGUGGCCGCUGCCUCGACGCUUCGCUUCCGCGCUGUGCCAUAGCGGCGGCGGCGUUUGGAGUCGUUUGCAGUUGGGUGUUUGGCGAAAGGAAAAAACCCAGAGGGAAUCCGAUUGGCUAGCCAGAAAAAAUCUGCUCCACGGUAAACAGUAGUCUGUGACGCCAUCCGCGCCGCCGAAGAUAGGACAAGAUGGCGAAAGAUAGUCCAGGCGAAACUGAUUCAUCGAGGUCACGACGGUUAAUAUUGAGGAUAAAAGACACAAGUGCUGUUUUGUCUAUCAGGUACAAAUCCAUUUCUACCUCACUGUGACGGUCAUAAGACGCUGCAAUCCGGGGAGUAAGCUCUGUACCUUCACCUUCAUCAUUGACCUUCCUGGCCACUUCAUCCUCUCGUCGGUCUGAAGAACGAAGUCUUGCUAAACUACUUAACAGUUCUCGUCAAAUAAUGCCCCUAACAUGUCAAUCACUUUAAGGUUCUCUUAUACGCAUUAUGUUUUAAAUUGAGACUACAAUACACAUAAUAAUGUAGAAAUAAAAAAUGUCUUAUUUGUCAGUUAUUUGCUACUAGCUGUUGCCCGCGACUUCGUCUGCGUGAGCAAUAUAGAAUUGCCAAUUUCGUUUAUUUAAUCAUUCAUUGCUCAACCCCCGUAGGUGAUAGCGUGAUAAUAUAUAGCCUAUGUGUUGAACCGGCCCCCAGGUAAUAGUCAUGCAAAAUUUGAUUUAAAUCCAUGCAGUACUUUUUGAGUUUAUCCGGGACAAACAUACAGACAAACAGAUAAACAGACAUACAGACAAAAAUUCUAAAAACUACAUAUUUGGGUUCAGAAUCGAUUAUGGAUCACCCUCCAAGUAUUCUUUUAAAAAAAUAUUCAAUGUACAGUUUUGACUUUCCUAUCAUUUUAUUAUAUGUAUAGAUUUGU